rnacentral:misc_RNA from 1 species
AGGGAAGGAGGUAACCAAAGCCCAAGGUAAAGUAGAUUAUGUAGGCCAAAUGGAAUGAAUCCUUGGGGACUUUAUUGGGUAUGGCAGCAACGGGUUUAGUUUCCAGAAGGGAGGUUGAUUCCGAAUCUCCGUCGGUGAGACCCAUCGGAAAUUCAAACAGGCCGGCUCUAAGUAGAGUGAAACAAUUUGACGACCAAACCAGAUAAAGU